GGGGGUAUAGCUCAGUGGUAGAGCAAUCGAUUGCAGUUCGAUUGGUCCCUGGUUCAAAUCCGGGUGCCCCCU
rnacentral:tRNA from 1 species